AUCCAUCUGACGAGUUUUAAAUAGGACGAAGUGGCGCACGUCCUGGAU
rnacentral:hammerhead_ribozyme from 1 species